UGUAUCAAGAAUGGUUCGCCACCCAAAGGACAUCCAAUUUGACACAACUGUGGGAAGCAUUGGAGUCAGCAUGGGCCAGCAUCCCUGUGGAAUGCUUUCAACACAUUGUUGACGGAUUGAGGCUAUCCUGAGGGCAAAGGGGGAUGCAACUCAAUAUAAGGAAGGUUACUACAGCAGUACAGGCCAGCUACUAUGUGUACUAGCAGAGGGAUCCAUUCCUCAAACUGCCCAAAUAUUCUCUGCCUAAGAUACAUCAUCGCUGCAGUGCCAGAGUGGAACUAGAAGGACCCACACAACCUGUACCUCUCCGACACUCUGGCCAUGGAGAAUAUCAAGACUACCCAGAUGCUGGACCUGUAUGAGGUAGCAGGUAUCAAAGGCAUGCUGGUUGCUGACAGGAGGCUAGACAACCAAGUGAAGAUCUACAUCACCUACAACAAGGGCCGUGAUUGGAGGUUCCUGCAGGCCCUGGCGACAGGCUUGGCUGGCAACAACACCCACUGUUUUCAGCCUUUCCGUUCGCUCCGUCUCCAACUGCAGAAGUCUGAAAACCCCUGUGUGUCAGGCAGCAUAUCAACCAAGGCCUCAGCACUGGGAAUAAUAGUGGCCACAGCCGGUGAUCAGCUUAGACGGGAACAUCUUGUAUACCUUCACCAGCGAGGGAAUGAACACUGUUACGGUCCAAGUGUCUUUAGCCAACACCAUACUGCAAGACACCAAGAUGAUAGCAGUCCAAGCAGAUGAACAGAAUGGAGUAUGCUACAAUGCAGUGACGCCACUAAAGAAAGCAAAAAACCACCCUUGGUGUAUUCCAUGCCGAGACACAGCAGUUCAGCCAUGCUGAUGCUCGUAUCAGUAGUAUUCCUGGGUUUAACAGUGUUUCUCAUCUACAAAUUCAAGAGAACAAUCCCCUGGAUUAACAUAUACAUUGUUCGGUCAGCCAGAGCGACAGCACGCAUAAGAUCACCCUCAGUGAGUUCACUACGGCCAAAGAAGUCAUGGAGAAGGAGAUGGACACCAGGGUUAAACGGCGAAUUGGACAUGCCUGCGAGAGCACAAGGGAGAUUCCUAACUGUACUAGCGUGUAAAGCCAGGGAAGGAAUGCAACACACGUGUACAGACAAAGUCUUGCCAUUUUAAGGGUUCCCUAUUUCUUUGGAUUCUUUUGUAAUUUCUCAAACACAACACCAAUGUUAAUAGUUUUCUAAGGGCCUGAUUUAUACUGAUGUGCAUGGGUGUCUUGCUUGAUAGCAUCUAUCGGCGAAUCUGAAAUCUACUCAACGAGACAAGUUUCAAUUACAAGUAUGAGCUACUUAUCCCUACUAAGUAGGUUUGGAUUGUGUAACGUUACAUUUUUAGUUCUGCAAUUGUCUUAUUUUAUGGACUUUUUUCAAAGCCUUUAUCAAAACCUAUUAAGAGAGUUAUGUACAUUUCUUAAUGUUUUACUUUUCAUGAGUUAUAAGAGUUUUUGUCUGUACGGGCCAUCAUGUGUAGGUCUCCGAUCUAACAGGGAAUAUUAUUGAAAAUGUACCAUAUUAUCUUUAGAUUUCAGUUAUCACUCUGUAUAUACAAUAUGUAUGUUUAGUUUUCACACGCUUGUAGUAAAAGUACAAUGCCAAACACAGGAGA